GGGAUUGCUGGCUUCCUCCCUGGAAGCAGGUAGGAGAGACGCUGUUCUCUCCUGUGAGAGAGUCAAGGAGACUGGGCACUGGGAGUGCAGAAGGAAAACAGUCAAGGCUGGCUUGGAGCACUGGCAGUGCAGAAAGGAAAGCAGUUAAGGUUGGCUUGGAGCACUGGGAGUGCAGAAAAGAAAGCAGUCACGGUGACUGAGUGUUGGAGUGCAGAGUGUUGUUAUCUAAUAAGGUUGGUGCAACCCAAUGAUACGUUUUGUUAGUUUAACCCAUGAUAGAGAGGGAUAUUAAAGGUUAG